CCCGUGUUCAAACCUCAAAUUCAUUCUUGACGUAUUUCGUGAUUUAUAUUCAUUUUAUUUCCAUAAUUUUGUUGUUGUUUCUUCUCCGACCCCUUUCAACAUAUCCUCCUCCCAAUAUUCAGCUGACCAGACCAACCAAACGUGCCCUCGCCGAAACCCAGUGUCACUUCGCCGUUUUACCAGCCGCUCCCAUCUGACCCUCAAUCACCUGAAAACCUCCCACAACAUUCGAAUACGUCAUCGUAUUACCAUACCAUCGCCGCCACCGCCAUUCGUGCCUCCUCCACCGCCGUCUACUUUGCAUUGCCGCCGUUCUUCCCUUCCUCAUCGCCGCCAUCUGCCUACUCUGGCCCUCCUACCCUGACCUCUCUAUCGUCCGCCUCCGGCUCGACGGCCUCCAAUUCCAUACUCGCCCCAAAAUCUCCCUCGACAUCAAACUCGACCUCACCGUCAAGGUCCGGAACAGAGACUUUUACUCAAUUGAAUAUGACUCAUUAGCUGUCGCGAUCGUGUACAGAGGGGAUCGCCUGGGGUACGUCUCCUCGGACAACGGCUACGUCAGAGCUCGUGGGGAGUCUUAUGUUAACGCCACGCUCCAGUUAGAUGGAGUUGAGAUUUUGUCGGACGCGAUUCUGUUGCUGGAAGACCUAGCCAAGGGUUCGGUUCCGUUCGAUGCCGUCACAGAGAUUGAUGGGAAGCUUGGAGUUUUCUUCUUCGACAUUCCUUUUAAGGUAAAUUUUGAUGGCUAAGAAAUACGAAAGAAUAUGAUCACUAAUUAUUUUUCAGAUUAGAAGGGUUGGUAUUAAUGCUAGUUCUAUAAAGUAGAACGGAUAAGAAUGAUGAAUGUUUCUUUACUCUUGGAGCUGCAUGUGAAAGAAUGGAGAAAAGCAAUUGAAGGGAAAUAAUAGUACUGCAAAGAUAGGCACUUAUGGCUUUAAUCAAUUUGUUUGGGAAGGCAUGCUAAAGGGUUGUGAAUGUUGAUAUCAAGGCAAUUUAGAAACUAGAGGGAAAUGUGGUCCUUUAUGAACAAAUUUUCUAGAGUUUGUCUUCCAUAGACAUGGGUGCUUUGAAGUCGUGACAGUCGAAAACAACCAAUUUAAUUUGCAGUUGUGACCACAAAACUAACCAGUAAAGACGCAGAUAAAAGCAAAGGGAAGCAAUCCAUACCAUUAGAUCCAUAGAACAAAUUUAAAUUCAUAAGAUAAUUAUGGUCAGCCAAGUGUGUUUAUGAGUUCAUUCACUUUGGAUGAACCUUUGGAUAAUAGAUAUGAAGCGGCACUGUGUUCGAGCUCCAACUCUAGGUGUGUGCCAAAUAUCAUCACUAGGAGAGUUAUGACAGAAUUGACUUCAGUAGGGACUAGAGGCUUGGAGAAAAUGGUGUGAGCGAGGAUAGAGCUUCCAUUGGGGAACAUGUUUGGAGAUGAUUUAUGACCGAGUUCAUCUGAGAGUCAGUGAUUGAGAACCUACGCACGUGAGCAUAACAUCUUCUGUAAGCUUUGUUUAAUGUUUUGGAAGAUGGAAUCUUAUGUAGUCCUUUGUCAGAAUUUUUUUUCUGCUUGCUCACCUUAAUUUUCUGUUUCUAGUUGUUGUAAGGUAUUGUUUCUUUGCACUUGUAUGAUUUAGAAUCAAAGGUAAAUACACUGUUCUUCUAGAAUGUCAUGUUUGCAAAUCUACUUACCCAAGGUAUUUUCACUCAUGAGAUGUUCCAUUUCUCCAUUCUAUCCCUCUGUACGCUCAUGUGUUUCUUCUUUUUUUGGUAUCCUGGCAUCAAAUGAUGGACAAAUCUGGAAUCGUUACUUAUUUAAAACUAGUGGAAUUAUAAUAUGGUGGCAUGGGUACGCAUCCCCCACUCCCCACCAUCAGCUUCUAAGCUAUUUAAGAUCUUUUUUAAAUGUCAAUGUGCUGAUCAAAAUCAAAUUUGUCAGUUUCUCAUGGCUUCAUAAUUAUGAUUUUUACAGGCAAAAAUGUAUGUGAAAUAAUUUUAAAUGCACACAACCAAACAAUUGAUCAUCAAAGCUGCCAUCCUGAGGUAAAGUUCCAAUCUUCUGCUAGUUUUACCUUUCUUCUGGUUGAUCUGUCUUGCAUGUGAAUAACAAUGGAAGGAAUUGGAGGUGAAGGAUAUGAAUUCUAUGUGAAAUUAAGAAAGUAAAAGAAGCUCACAUCUUAUUCAUCAUACCGUUUAGUCUUGUCCAAUGCUGGCUCUUGGCCUACAAUUUGCUAGAAAUUGCACUAUCUAAAAGCCAACCUUUCUUUACCCUACCUCCCCUCUCUCCUCCAGGUGGACAGUUGUGAAAAAUAUAGUGAUAUACACACAAAUAAAAUGUAACAUUUUUAUAGUUGGAUAGUGAACUGCAUAUCUAAUUCCAAUUUAUCAACAGUGAUGGAAUAUUGGACACUGCCCAAAAAUUUCUAAACAGAGCUAGGAGAUGAGGUUGUUCUUGCAGAUUGCCAAAUAGAGAACCUCGUGCUGCCCAGGUUAUUGAUACUUUAUUCUUGGAUUAUUACCCAUUUCUUUUCUUAUAAAUGGGGCAAACAUUUGUCUGGAUGUAAAUUAGUACGCAUAUCGUAUGUAUGUAAGUUAUUUGGAUACAAGAAAUUGAGUAUGAACAGAUGUAAAAUCUGUUACUGUACACGUGCGUGCACACACGCGUACACAACCCCAUCUGGUACAAUGAAUUUCUUGAUCUUAUUCUUAUGGUGCACAUUGAACUGAAAUUAGGAUCCAGGUGGAGAGAUACAAAUUUUCAUAUAUAUGAUUUUAUGCAAAAACAUUACAGUGGAGGAAAUUCAUACAGUGGAAAUAUAAUCUAAUUUCUUCUUGUUUGCUAGGAUGAUGAAACAUAUGUACUUACUAACUAGGUCUGUUUCCCGGACCUACCCACUCGUAUUCUGCAUGAUGAUAUCUACACCUGAACGAACCUGGGUGGCGCGUUGGUGAACACACACAUCUUUUCAUUCCUCCACCACUGCCACUGUUAGCCCCAGCUGUAUUAACUGUUUCUCGCUGUCUUUCAACCUCUACCACAGCUGGUGGUGAUGGUGGUAUCACAGGAGAAACUACUCUCCCCCGUUGAGGACUGGCCUGGUUGUACAGACCCACCCAAUCUGCACCCGGGUAACACAUCUCUUGUUGCAAGAAGGAAUGGUUUUACGUUCAACAAGAGAGAAUAUAACCAGGGAGAAUCAUAGGAUUAUAGCCCAAGGAAAGCAAAUGAAAGGAUGGCAUAGAAGAAACGUAGGGGUGAGGUGAGGUGGCAUGACGUAGGGGUAUAAUUUGUAAAUAAAAGCUUGGGGAUAUUGUUUGUUAAAAAGGUGUGGUUUGAUUCUCAGAAAGGGAUUGCUUUUGGACAUAACCUUUUGCAUAUUCUGCCCUGUGAGAGAGUAAUUAAGGAUGUGGUGACUGAUCAAAAGAGACUUGCCACCACUUGUGAAGUGACAAGUUGAGAAUUUUAUUAUUAUUUUUUAUUUAGAAAGUUUGGAAAAGGUUAGGGGAGAAAAUUUUGAAACCCAUUUUUCCUUUUCGUUUUUUCCUUUGUUCCUCAUCAUUUUAUUAGGGGAGGGGAUUUUGUGACAUUAAGGGUGCGUUUGAUUACAAGUAGGAAAAUUACAUGUAAAGAAAAUGAAUUCCAGGGAAUUGAAUUACCUAGAAAUUGUUUUC
rnacentral:lncRNA from 1 species